AAAAAGUGAAUUACGGAACUGAUGAAAGGAUUAAAUGAAGGUUCAGCCUCACUAUAUUAGCAAGAAAGUGUGCAAGACUCUAGAAACCAGAAAACAGCCAAGAUUCUUGUUUCUCUUUAAGCAACAACUGAACCAGUUGUUCCACGAUUACUAUGUCCGUAUGUUCUUCAUUUUUCCAUCUCUAAAUUGCUUUGAUCCAGACGUUGAAGGACUCCUCUCUCCAUGAUGAUCAGUAGCAAUACUUUAACCAAACGCAGGAUAUGCGCAAAAAUUAUAAGAUCUUAAAAAGCAUUCCAUGCUAAAUCUCCGUCUUACAAAAAAAAAUGGGUUGUGGCAACGGCGAUCUCAAUGGUGGUAAGAAUCAAAAGGCAACCACUGAAAAUAUCAGACACAAAAAAAUCACAAUUAGUCUUUCUAAUUCCUUGCAAAAAAAAUAAAUAAAUGUUCUAAGAUGGAAGUGCGUAAUAUUUAGGGGGUACCGAAUCCAUGAAAGCAAUUUUUAGCCGACUUCAGUUAGAAGCCAAGCUAGUGAGAAAGGAGCUCACUUCUCAUAAUCAUCAACCAAAUUUGGUGUUAUUGUAAAUCUACGAGGAAGUUGCGUAAUAUGUAGCCUAUUUUUCUAAUAUCAAGUAUCACGCAGAUGGAACUUACUGACAUAUUAAUAUCGUAGCCUACUUCAGGAUCACUCAAAGUUUCGGUGGGAAUCUUUCAUUCACAAUAAUCUUUGACGUCCAUCAAGUGAUCCACUUGUUCCCCAUUUACCAGCAAGAAAGUCAUGACAUGCUAUGGCCUGCCUAUGACCUGGGUUGGGGAUACGUAAAUAAUCAGAACAAAGAUCAAAAAACUGUGUGUGUGUGUGUGGGAGAGAGAGAGAGAGAGCAAAAAAUACACAAAACAAUAGAUAUCAAAGGAAAGAGCAUCAAGAAAUAUCAUAAAAAAAUCUCACAUAAAAAAUAAACCAAUCACAAAUUCAUAUCUGGAAAACAGAAAGAAAGAAUAGACAAAAAAAAAAAACGCAAUGAAUUGGACAUUUAUGAAAAAUGUUGAUUAAACUUUAGAAAAAAUGAGAGGGCUUCGAUUCCUUUAAUUCUAGAAUUUUACAUAUUAUGGAAUCUGAAUAUUGUGCAAAUAGAUUUCCAGAAAUGAAUCCCCAAUGACAAGGAGCGUACGCAUAACCAAGCAACAUAAAACUUGAAACAAACUAAGUGCAGCAGACCCAAGUCCUGGCUGAGGGACCACAAUUUAUCUGAUUAAGUAACCUAAUUGCUUGAACCAAAAACUACUUCAUUCUUGAUUCCCUUCGUUCAACAAUAAAAAAAAUUCGGUUCAUAGACAAAAAAAAUUAUGUUUUACCAUCAAACCCAGCCAUGCUUGUGUUUAUUUUCCCUAGCAACGCAAUACUGCACGGAACAAAGUUUUAUUCCGUGCCUCACGAAGAACUGAUGAAGGCCUCAUGACUAUCUUACGUCUAUCUCCAACAAGCUCGAAUUAAUUCUCACGAAAGGAUGUUGAACACACGCCCAGAAGCUGCACACAAUUUUUAAGUAAAAUAAUUACACCCGCAAAGGAGAGGUGUGUUUACAGGCCACCUCCACACUAAAAUCUUUGGCAACUGGCCAUUUUAAUAUUUGACAUCAUUUAUAACAACAAGAAGGAAGUCAAUUUUCCCCAGAAAAUAGCAAGAGUUAGAUAAGGGGAUGUGAUUUGAUUUUUUCAUCUGAUGUAAUAUUCAACCUAGUACUCGGGUUUGCUCAUUCCCCAUGGUGCAAGAAAUGAAAAAAAAUAUUCAGAUAACAAACAUAGGAAGAACAGCUCUUUCCUUGAAUGAAUUCCUAUCAGGUUGUAAGUGAGUUGUAUUCAUUGGCUCAGAAGAGUUUCAGAGUUUCAUCUCCGACAUGGGACAUGCCAGUCCAAACAUGUAGGCAAAUAUUAGAACAUCAUGGCCACCCAAGUAUACAGGGUCAUGUUAGACAGAACAAAAGCCAUGCUAAAAUCAGUUUGCAUAAACUUGUAACGAAUCAGCGCAACCAAUGCACUAAAUCACAAAUAAUUGUCACAAGAAGAUUCAGUUGGUAUGACCUUACAAAAAAAACCAAAAAACAAAAUGGGUUCAAAAACAGCGGCGAUCUCAAUGACGUAAGAAAUCAAAAAGGUAACCCAUGAAAAAACCAGAGCACACAAAAAAAUCACAACUAAUCUUUCUAAUAUUAAACUCUUAAUCUUAAAAAGAGAAUGCGAACUUGAUUGCCAAUGCUGCUCAACAGCAAAACUCACAAUUUACAUCUGACGAGCGACACAAAAGAAACGAAUAUCCCAAAAAACCAAUACCAGAGAACUCAAUAACACCAAUUCUUACGCCCCAAAAUUUGUUUAGGUUGGUUAUACUCCACUAAUACAACAAAAAAAAUCCGAAAUAUUAGCGAGGUAAGAAAAACCCAAAAAUGAUGAGACAUAGAAAAGAGUUAAAUAAACAUGAGAGAGGGGGAGAACUAACCAAGAG
rnacentral:lncRNA from 1 species